UUCUAAGAACAUAUGUGUAAACAUGAAUCUGCGAACGGCUCAUUAUUAACACCCGUAAUCUACCCAGUUUUCAUAUCCAAAACGGAUAUCUGCGUUAAUUUUGGAGCUAAUACGUGCACCAACGUACCGCUAGCAAUAGUGGUAUGCACUUGUUAGUAUAAGGCCGACUGGGGCAACCCGAUUGGUGACUCUGAACAAUUUUUGCGGAUCGCAUGGUCUUGUACCGGCGACGUACUGGUCGAGCGGGUGCCCUAUCAACUAUUGAUGGAAGUCUAUGUGUCUUCCAUGGUUGUAACGGGUAACGGAGAAUCAGGGUUCGACUCCGGAGAGCUAGCCUUAGAAACGGCUAUCACAUCCAAGGAAGGCAGCAGGCGCGUAAAUUACCCACUCUCAAUUCGAGGAGGUAGUGACUAUCAAUAACGAGACAGAUCUCUUUGAGGUCUGUCAUUGAAAUGAGCACAACUUAAAGACUUUAACGAAGUCUAUGGGAGGGCAAGUCUGGUGCCAGCAGCCGCGGUAAUUCCAGCUCCCAACGUGUAUAUCGUCAUUGCUGCGGUUAAAAAGCUCGUAGUUGGAUCUUAGCUUAUGACAGUAGUUCACCAUGUGUGAUACUGCGUGUCUGAGCUGUUUCGCCGGUUUUCCUUGGUUUCGGCCUUGGUGACUGGUGUUGUAACUUUGAUUAAAUCAAUGUGAUUAAAACAGGCGUUUGCUUGUAUGCUUUAUCAUGGAAUAAUAGAAUAUGACUUCGGUCCAUUCUGUUGGUCUUGGGAUCGAAGUAAUGAUUAAAAGGAACAACUCGGGGGCAUCCGUAUCGCUGCGUGAGAGGUGAAAUUCUUGGACCGCAGCGAGACGACCUAUUGCGAAACAU
rnacentral:rRNA from 1 species